rnacentral:lncRNA from 1 species
CCUUGGAUACCCAGAGAAUUUUCAGGCGGAGACCAGAUUGAUUAAAGCAAUAGCACAUGGAACCAUAUCUGGUGUGACAACAAUUUGAAAAGCGCCACCCAUCCUCUCUGAGACCACAAACAGCGCUGAAGGCAGUGAACCAAGACUUACAAACAAGGGUGUAGACCAAGGAAAAUGCUGGGGGCCAGAGGAGGAGAAAGCAAGAAGAUAGAAACACCAUAGUUUCAAGAGGGAGGGGAGCAGAAAGCCGCCAGCUCUCCAAAAAACAAGAAGCAAAACCCAGAACUCAAACCUCAUGAAAGUAUCACGAGGUUGAAGCCUUUAAAAGGUGUUUUUACAGCAGAUUUUAGAGACUUCUCACCUUACCAACGGUUAUAAACCCGUAUCCUUGCAAAUUCAGCAGUAGAGUCAUUAGAUUGCCCUCUCAGCCUCUGCACGUGAAGGGUCUCAGGGCUUUUCAGGACAUCUUUAGGGUCAGGUUUCGUGAAAUAGGUAGGUUGGGCCAGCUUUCUGGGGACUCUAAGCAACCUUGGAGAAAAUGGGCAGGAGUAAAUAAAGGUAUGCCAGCUUGCUUUUUCCAGUGGGGACUUGGCAAAUGCCAAAAACAGUAUAAAUAUUAUAUUCCCAUCUUCUAAUAUCAUGGAAACCCAUGGUGGCAAUGGGGCGCAGGGCUCACUAGCCACCCUGAGGUGAAGAAGUGGCCCCUCAGAGAUCUGAAGCUGGUUAGCAAGAGUUCACCAGGGCCUAGCUCCUUGUCCCUCAGGGAAAGCCCCUGGGUGCUAUAGCCCACCACCUGGAAGGGGCAGCCCCUGGAGAAAUGUUAGAAUUCUGGGUGAAUUAUUUUCUUAUGAAAUUUCAUCCAAAGUUUUAACAAAGUACCAAAUAGGAGAGUUGUUAAGUAUUGUGAGUGAGUGAGGUGGAGGAAGCAGAGCGGGGAAGGGGUGGCUCCACUCUCUCACUAUAUUCACUGCUCAUCCUAGAGAUGACCUAGUGUCAAAAACGUUGCAAAUGCAACCAGCUGCCUGUUGCAUCCAUGUAGUUCAGUUGUUGCUAUUUACAGGGUAGUAUAAAUGCCCGGUGCUGCUAUGAACCAAGGUGCUGAGUAUCAAAUGUUCCUGGAAGAGCACCUAGUAGUGUUUCAUUGGAUGGUUUCUAGUAAAAACUUUAUGCAAAAGUAAUAUGGUAUUGCUGAUUAUAGGUAUUAUCUGAUAAUAAUAAUCCUGUCAAGUACUUGCUUGGGCCAGAUCACUCUGUGAAGGCAGAAAGUUGGCAAUGCUUGUCUUAAAUGCAAGAUUCUUUCUCUUUUCUUCCUCCCUCCCUCCCUCCUAUUCAACCAUCCUUUAUUCACCCUUGGAAAAAUUUGGGCUCUGCAUUCACUCUUGCACAAUCCUGUAAUCUCAUGGUUUACUUUAUGAUGACAAUAUUAAUGACAAUAAAGGCACAUUUUCCCUAAG